GAUGAACGCUAGCUACAGGCUUAACACAUGCAAGUCGAGGGGAAACGAUAGAGAAAGCUUGCUUUUUCUAGGCGUCGACCGGCGCACGGGUGAGUAACGCGUAUCCAACCUGCCCACCACUUGGGGAUAACCUUGCGAAAGUAAGACUAAUACCCAAUGACGUCUCUAGAAGACAUCUGAAAGAGAUUAAAGAUUUAUCGGUGAUGGAUGGGGAUGCGUCUGAUUAGCUUGUUGGCGGGGUAACGGCCCACCAAGGCGACGAUCAGUAGGGGUUCUGAGAGGAAGGCCCCCCACAUUGGAACUGAGACACGGUCCAGACUCCUACGGGAGGCAGCAGUGGGGAAUAUUGCACAAUGGGCGCAAGCCUGAUGCAGCCAUGCCGCGUGUAUGAAGAAGGCCUUCGGGUUGUAAAGUACUUUCA
rnacentral:rRNA from 1 species